rnacentral:rRNA from 1 species
CCCCGGCACAAGCGGUGGAGCAUGUGGUUUAAUUCGACGCAACGCGAAGAACCUUACCAAGGCUUGACAUCUACAGAAUCCUUAAGAGAUUAGGGAGUGCCCUUCGGGGAACUGUAAGACAGGUGGUGCAUGGUUGUCGUCAGCUCGUGUCGUGAGAUGUUGGGUUAAGUCCCGCAACGAGCGCAACCCCUAUAUUCAGUUGCCAGCAUGUAAAGAUGGGAACUCUGGAUAGACUGCCGGUGAUAAACCGGAGGAAGGUGGGGAUGACGUCAAAUCAUCAUGCCCCUUAUGUCUUGGGCUACACACGUGCUACAAUGGGCAGUACAGACGGAAGCGAAGCUGUGAAGUGGAGCAAAUCCGAAAAAGCUGUUCGUAGUUCGGAUUGUAGGCUGCAACUCGCCUACAUGAAGUCGGAAUCGCUAGUAAUCGCAGGUCAGCACACUGCGGUGAAUACGUUCCCGGGCCUU